rnacentral:lncRNA from 1 species
UCGGAUAUCUUGUACUGUCCCGACAAGACCUUCUUUGAAGUGGUGUGCAUGGGAUAUCUUGUGUGUGCCGCUCAAUGGUUGUGACGGUUUUUUGCUCGGUUUUCUAGAAUUAACUGGGCAACAGGUUUUCGCUCGGUUUUUCCUAAUUAACCGAGCAAUUCUUUUCUUCUUAAUAAAUGCAGGAAUCCUGCCAUUUCGGAAAAAAAAACAUGCUUGUUUGAAAAAAAAAGCAUGCUUGCUUAGUAACGCUUCGACGGUCAUUUCACACUCUGCAUUAUGAAUAGGACUUCUGAAUAUUUUUUGAGAGCGAGUUCUGGAGUAUUUGUCUUCAAUAGAUCUUGUAUUGGCCGUGUAUUAGGCGGACCGAACUCUUGGAGAUGUGCCUGUCUCUCAGCAGCAUCAGCGCACUCUGUACUUCAGGACGUCCUUGGCAAAUUGGGAAUGUAUGCAUCGGAACAGCCGCACUUAUACCAAGAUUAAACUUUUCAACAAGUGCCUGCGGCCAUACAACAGUUUAUUCCUACUUUCUAUGUACAUAGAGUACUGCACAUGAGGUCGAUCACAUCUUUAUUGGAAGCACGAGGCACUUGAGACAUUCAGAAAAGAAGUCCAUAUAAACUAGUAGUCGACGGUAGCAGAGUUGGAGCUUCACUUGUGGUGCGCUUUGUUGGGCGGCUUCACGAUGAGAACGGGGCAGGAGGCGUGGUGGACGAGGUAGUCGCUCACGCUGCCCAGCAACGCCCUGCAACAUACCACGAGCACAUAGUCAGCCAUGCACUCUCCCGCCAAGGCGUGGCUUGAUGAUCAAUGGAGUUUUAUUACGCACAUGCUUACAGCAUGACUAUUGUCCGACUACUAAAGGUUGCUCUCAUAGUAAAGAAACAGUAAAACUCAAAAACUACUGUGUUCUUUUAGCCAUUGGAUUUUCCUUAGAUGCACUGUUCGAGGAGGCAGGUUGAGUAACUACUGCAUAUCUUUCAGCCAUGCAUUUCAAUAUGCUACAAGGAUAAAAAGGUAAUGCAUGAGGGGCUAGUGUUUUUUAAUGUUUUAUUAGUCUUUUAUUAUUAUUUAUUUUUAGAAACGGCAGAAGGGCUAGUCGCAAGGGAAAACGGGGAAGGAACAGGAGCAGAAAAGCCCAUGAUAUGACUCGGCAAGGCCUGCUACGGGCUCUCAGCUUGGGCCCAAACAAGCAGUGGGUUCGGGGUUCAGGUGGCUGGCAUUGCGGGAUAUCAGAAGAAAAGCCAGCAGGUUUAGUCCCACAUCGCGGACGGAGAAGCAUCGCAGAGGAAGGAUGGCUAUAAAAGGAGACCCAGCUCAACGCCACAACUCAUACCUUUCUCGGCCUUUUGGCUAAGAUCAAGUGUAGUAUCUGUUCUUAUCAGUUUAAUAUCUGAUAUGUGGACCAUGUGUCCACAACGAUAUUAAAUUUAUUUUUUGUGGGGGAGAGUCCACCACGGUAGCUUGCUGCCGGGGCUCUCAUGUGUCGCCCAGGCGUUGUACUAUUGCCUGGGCCUGGCGCACCCCAACCAAAUCAAAGCAUUAAAAUUUUGGAAUUGUGGGGAGUUAUGUAUAUAAUUUGCAAUGCAAGUUCCUUGAACAUUGAAGAAAGAGCUAAGCUGUGUAGUUCAGCGCACUGUUUGUAAACGGCAGUAAUCUUGAGGAUCUUAGGUUCUGCCAGUGAAGUAGUUAUUCUGCACUCAGAAAUUACAGUCUAAUAUCGAAAUAGGCUCACGCGUGGUAAUCUAAUUGGCACGUACUACGUACCUCUUGAUCAUGCCCAGGCCGCGGCUGCCGAGGACGAGGAGGUCGGCGUGCAUGUCCUCCACGGCGCGGCAGAUGGCCUCCUUGGCGUCGCCCUC